GCGGCAUCGUCUCUCUCAACGUUGUCUCUAGUAUCACCAUCAGCACGCUUCGGUCCGUCUCCGAGACGAAACGGAAAAAGCUCGCGUUGCCUUGUAUGGCGUGUAAAGGGAAAGGGUUUUUCUUAUGCAAGCCGUGCGAAGGGAAUGCCACGAUCCAGUCGUCGCCAUUGCACGACAGCAUCGUCAUAAUCCCCUGCGUUUGCCCCACCUGCGACGGAAAUAGGAUACAGCGUUGUCUGAACUGCUUGGGGAAGGGUUAUAGUUGAGUGGUGAUUAAGGUUGAUCCAUCUAAGACUUCAUAACCUAUCAAAGCUGUCUACAUAUUACAAAGGCAAAGCAGCUGUGUAACUAGAAGCAAAGAUUAAGAACGGCAGCAUCAGGUAGAUGUGUGGCAGCUCGGUAAGGAAGUGCCAUUGUUAGUUUCAGGUACUUUAAGAUUCUCAUGUAAAUUUAGGCAAAAUGUUAAAUGGUUUCCCGAUCAACUAUCUUUGGAUGCACCCGUCACUUGAGAUUGUCGAGAACAAGCUUUAUGGAUUAUGUUGGAUUAAUAGUGCUUAUGCUUUCUGAAAGUCCCAUGAGAUGGCUUCUACAAAAUGACUGCACCUGAUAUAGGUAACCCGAGGAUUGAUAAACUCAUGGCCUUAGUUGAUGUUGUGAGUGGUCCGUCCAAGUUAGUCAGCUGGAUUAGCAGCAUGAUAUUUAUUUUCACAACUGUUUCUAUUGUGAUGUGCUGUAAAAUGGGACUAUCAAGCAUCAAAUGUUACCGAGCUGUUCUAUACUUCUAUUCCUAUUUAAGUGCAAUAUCCCAUUGCUUGCUUCU